rnacentral:rRNA from 1 species
GUCCUGGCCUAACGAUGGUACUAGGUAGUAGACCAGACAUGGUUACUGCCGGAGCUAAGUGCUAAGUACCCGCCUGGGAGUAUGGUCGCAAGGCUGAACUCAAGGAAUUGACGGGCUCACACAAGCGGUGGAGCAUGUGGCUUAAUUCGAGGCUACGCGAAGAACCUUAUCCUGGACUUGACAUGUGCGAAAGCGCCAGCAGGUAGGACCCGGAACGGAACGAACGGUAUCCAAAUCCGGAAGCUGGUACAGGUGCUGCAUGGCUGUCGU